rnacentral:tRNA from 1 species
GCGCCCGUAGCUCAACUGGAUAGAGCGCAUCGCUUCGGACGAUGAGGUUAGAGGUUCAACUCCUCUCGGGCGUA